GGGUCUGUAGCGUUGAGGUUACGCUUUCGCUUCAUAAGCGGAAGGUCAUGGAUUCGAUUCCCAGCCCCU
rnacentral:tRNA from 1 species